GAUGAACGCUGGCGGCGUGCCUAAUACAUGCAAGUCGAGCGAACAGACGAGGAGCUUGCUCCUCUGACGUUAGCGGCGGACGGGUGAGUAACACGUGGAUAACCUACCUAUAAGACUGGGAUAACUUCGGGAAACCGGAGCUAAUACCGGAUAAUAUAUUGAACCGCAUGGUUCAAUAGUGAAAGACGGUUUUGCUGUCACUUAUAGAUGGAUCCGCGCCGCAUUAGCUAGUUGGUAAGGUAACGGCUUACCAAGGCAACGAUGCGUAGCCGACCUGAGAGGGUGAUCGGCCACACUGGAACUGGGACACGGUCCAGACUCCUACGGGAGGCAGCAGUAGGGAAUCGUCCGCAAUGGGCGAAAGCUUGACGGAGCAACGCCGCGUGAGUGAUGAAGGUCUUCGGAUCGUAAAACUCUGUUAUUAGGGAAGAACAAAUGUGUAAGUAACUAUGCACGUCUUGACGGUACCUAAUCAGAAAGCCACGGCUAACUACGUG
rnacentral:rRNA from 1 species